rnacentral:rRNA from 1 species
UACAGAGGGUGCGAGCGUUAAUCGGAAUUACUGGGCGUAAAGCGCACGUAGUCGGCUUUGCAAGUCGGGUGUGAAAUCCCCGGGCUCAACCUGGGAACUGCAUUUGUGACUGCACGGCUGGAGUGCGGCAGAGGGGGAUGGAAUUCCGCGUGUAGCAGUGAAAUGCGUAGAUAUGCGGAGGAACACCGAUGGCGAAGGCAAUCCCCUGGGCCUGCACUGACGCUCAUGCACGAAAGCGUGGGGAGCAAACAGG